CCUCCUCCCAUAAUGCUGUGCAUUGUGCAUGAUGUAAAAGACAUCAUGAUCCAUCUCCUUCCUUCCACUGUGACUCAUUGGUCCAUGAUGCUGGGAUGAAACACAUUUAAACAGCUUUAUUUAAAGAAAGAACAGUGUCAAAAACGCUUGUUGAAUCUGAGGCAGCCUCUGGUACCAGGUGUAGAAUCCCCUCUCGUUCAGCUCUAACAUCCUCCUGAUGAUCCUCUUCAUAUCCCUCUCUCUAUUUCUGGGGUGCGUGGACCUGUUUGAUACGUAUCUACUGUUACCAAGUGAUGUUUCCUUCCUUCUCGUGUCCGGACCGUCUGAUGACUGAAUGUGUGAUGAGAAGACGUGUCAGCGGGGAAUCACUUCUUUUCAUCGACGCGUCAGUACACAACAGCUUCCAUCAGAGGUCAGAGGUCAGAGGUCCGUGCAUGUGACACUAAACUCAGGAACCAGGAACUUACACCUGAUCAAAACUUCACAGUCACAACAACGACGCGUCUCUGUUCUCUGGUUUUUAUUAAGCCCUGCGGGACACUAACGUGGGGAGGGAGACAUGUUGUCUUGCCACCGAAGACUUCAGACAAAAAUUCCCGAA